GAUGAACGCUAGCGGCAGGCUUAACACAUGCAAGUCGAGGGGUAUAUGGUGCUUGCACCAUAGAGACCGGCGCACGGGUGCGUAACGCGUAUGCAAUCUGCCUUUUGCAAAGGGAUAGCCCAGAGAAAUUUGGAUUAAUACCUUAUAGUAUAUUGAUGUGGCAUCACAUUAUUAUUAAAGACUUAUCGGCAAAAGAUGAG
rnacentral:rRNA from 1 species